rnacentral:rRNA from 1 species
CUCAAAGGAAUUGACGGGGGCCCGCACAAGCGGUGGAGCAUGUGGUUUAAUUCGACGAUACGCGAAGAACCUUACCCGAUCUUGACAUCCCCGGGUCGAAGCCUGCUUACAGCUCUCCGAGGCUUUUCGCAGUUAACACAGGUGCUGCUUGGCUGUCGUCAGCUCGUGCACGUGAGAUGUUCGGUUAAGUCCUGCAACGAGCGCAACCCCAUAUACUUAGUUGCACUCUAUUUACUGUGGGAACUCUAUUUAGACUGCCUCGAGACAAUUAUGAGGAAGGUGAGGACGACGUCAAAUCAUCAUGGCCCUUACGUCCAGAGUCUACACACGUGCUACAAUGGGAGGUGACCCAGCCGCAACUUCGGAUACGGCUACCUUGUUAAAACUUAGUCCUCCCAGUUCGGAUUGUAGUCUGCAACUCGACUACAUGAAGUUGGAAUCGCCUAGUAAUCGUGCAAUCAGCUCGGCUGACUCGGUGAAUAGCGUUCACGGGCCUUGUACACACCGCCCGCUCAUACCAUGGGAGUUGAAUUACUAGAAAUUCCAGCUUCAUCCAGUCGAGUUGCAGACUAUAAUCCGAACUGUGAUCGGCUU